rnacentral:rRNA from 1 species
UACGUAGGUGGCAAGCGUUGUCCGGAUUUACUGGGCGUAAAGGGCGGGCAGGCGGUCUGUCAAGUGGGGUGUGAAAGCUCCCGGCUUAACCGGGAGAGGCCAUUCCAGACUGACAGACUGGAGGGCAGGAGAGGUGCGUGGAAUUCCGGGUGGAGUGGUGAAAUGCGUAGAGAUCCGGAGGAACACCAGAGGCGAAGGCGACGCACUGGGCUGCACCUGACGCUGAACCGCGAAAGCCAGGGGAGCGAACGGG